UACGAAGGGGGCUAGCGUUGUUCGGAUUUACUGGGCGUAAAGCGCACGUAGGCGGAUCGUUAAGUCGGGGGUGAAAUCCCGGGGCUCAACCCCGGAACUGCCUUCGAUACUGGCGAUCUCGAGUCCGGAAGAGGUGAGUGGAACUCCUAGUGUAGAGGUGGAAUUCGUAGAUAUUAGGAAGAACACCAGUGGCGAAGGCGGCUCACUGGUCCGGUACUGACGCUGAGGUGCGAAAGCGUGGGGAGCAAACAGG
rnacentral:rRNA from 1 species